AUCACUUAAUAUUCUUUCUGCCAAUGUUGUUGUCAGUAUAAACAUGCUUAUAGUCAAGCUUUUGUUUUCCCUUUUCUAGAUGUCUCUUGGACAAAUCGUAAGAAACUAAAUGGAAGUCGAAAGGAUAAGAUGUCUCAUGAGAUGUCUGUGGGAACUGAUCCUUAGGAGAAAGCUUCCGUCAGAAAGGGUCUGUCAUGGUCAUUCUAGUGUUUCUGAGAAGUGCAGAGGUCCAGAUCCAUCAUGUGCCCAAAACCCUUUUAAGGUCCUUCGGUUAUUGAAUGAACAUAGUGGAUAAGAGCAGAUUUUGCAGUUGUAUGAUGAAUGGGGCUGUAAUAUUGUGGUGCCGGAGUUGAUAAGGCAUUUGGACGAUCUUUGCUCUUAUUAUACUUACAACUGGCGAUCUGUUGUAUUCUGAAAUUUGUUUAUUUAGAAAUGUGAAUGUAGGAUGCAUUGUAUGAUUUGAUUGCUAUUUGUAAUAUGAAUGCAUCGUUUUCUUUCCUGAUUGCAUUUUAUGUACUAUUCCUAGCAGCAUUAAUUGUAUUAGCUUAGAUGAGUUGAUCAA